UACCAGCACCCCGAGUGGUCGGGACGAUUAUUGGGCCUAAAGCAUCCGUAGCCGGUCAUGCAAGUCCUCCGUUAAAUCCACCUGCUUAACAGAUGGGCUGCGGAGGAUACUAUAGAGCUAGGAGGCGGGAGAGGCAAGCGGUACUCGAUGGGUAGGGGUAAAAUCCGUUGAUCCAUUGAAGACCACCAGUGGCGAAGGCGGCUUGCCAGAACGCGCUCGACGGUGAGGGAUGAAAGCUGGGGGGAGCAAACCGG
rnacentral:rRNA from 1 species